AUAUAUAUAUAUAUAAGAUACCAGUACUGUAUAUUAGAAAAGAACUGACUCGCAGGUUUUGCCUGAUAGACCUACUUAAAUCUUUUGCUUUAUUCUUUCUGUUGCAUAGAAGUAUAAGUUUAUUACUCUGCUUUAUUGCAAGUUAUUUCACAUGGGAUCUGUGUGCCUGAUAUGAUUGUUGCUUUAAUACCAUAAGCCCACUACACUUUCUAUGAGAGUGGGAUAGUGUAAAUGUGUUGCAUUGUUUGCAUGAUGAGCUCAGUAUUUUUAGAACUGAGACAAAAAGUCACUUCAUUAGUAUUUGAAAGUUAAUUCCCCAUAUGGGAUUAAUUGUAUAGAACACCAAUCAGCACAUCUUCCCUGCCCUGUGUGUUUGUUGCAGCGGAUCCAUACUGUAAAUAUGAUUUUUGUUUGUAAAUAAGAGCAACAUUUACAUUUUCAGCGGUCCAACACAUGCUUCAUUUUGCGCUGUAAACUAACCUUUUUUAUUGCAACAGAUUCCUUUUAAAUGAUCCAGUGUAAUAACUACUGCAUAUGUUUUGUGUCUUCUGUGUCUAACAUUAUAUGUGUUAUGUUCUUUUAAAUUGUGGUAUAUAGCCUGGAUCAGAGAUCAUGGACAAAGGUUUUUACCUGUGUUACUAAGGCUCUUGGAGACUGAC